CCAGUAUACUUUUCCCAGUGCCACCUUCAAUUACCAAGCCUGCCGUGAGACCAAUCAUUGCCCAUGCACCAUUAAUUGCCUCAAUUUGAUGUCGUCUCUUGAGUUUCUCUUUAGCUUUUAUCUCUCGCAUCUGAAUGGCAGCUAAUCGCUUAGCUUCCAAAGGAUCAACCAUGAUUACCUGAUUUUUUGAAUCUCCUUCACCUGACAC
rnacentral:misc_RNA from 1 species